GGAGAUUUAGCUCAGUGGUAGAGCACUUGCCCAGCAAGAGCAAGACCCUGGGUUCGGUCCCCAGCUCCA
rfam:Rattus norvegicus chromosome 2, whole genome shotgun sequence.